GACGAACGCUGGCGGCGUGCCUAAUACAUGCAAGUAGAACGCACAGUUUAUACCGUAGCUUGCUACACCAUAGACUGUGAGUUGCGAACGGGUGAGUAACGCGUAGGUAACCUGCCUGGUAGCGGGGGUUAACUAUUGGAAACGAUAGCUAUUACCGCAUAAUAUUGAUUAUUGCAUGAUAAUUGAUUGAAAGAUGCUAUUGCAUCACUACCAGAUGGACCUGCGUUGUAUUAGCUAGUAGGUGAGGUAACGGCUCACCUAGGCGACGAUACAUAGCCGACCUGAGAGGGUGGUCGGCCAACCUGGGACUGGGGCACGGCCCAGACUCCUACGGGAGGCAGCAGUAGGGAAUCUUCGGCAAUGGACGAAAGUCUGAACGAGCAACGCCGGGUGAGUGAAGAAGGUUGUCGGAUCGUAAAGCUCUGUUGUAAGAGGAGAACGGGUGUGAGAGUGGAAAGUUCACACUGUGACGGUAUCUUACCAGAAAGGGACGGCUAACUACGUG
rnacentral:rRNA from 1 species